rnacentral:rRNA from 1 species
UACAGAGGGUGCGAGCGUUAAUCGGAAUUACUGGGCGUAAAGCGUGCGUAGACGGCUAUCUAAGUCGGGUGUGAAAGCCCCGGGCUCAACCUGGGAAUUGCAUUCGAGACUGAAUAGCUAGGGUACGGUAGAGGGAAGUGGAAUUUCCGGUGUAGCGGUGAAAUGCGUAGAUAUCGGAAGGAACGCCGGUGGCGAAAGCGACGUGCUGGACCUCUUCUGACGCUGAGGCGCGAAAGCCAGGGGAGCAACGGG